rnacentral:rRNA from 1 species
GCAGUCGGAGGCAGCACGGACUUCGGUCUGGUGGCGAGUGGCGAACGGGUGAGUAAUGCAUUGGAACGUACCGAGUAGUGGGGGAUAACUAGUCGAAAGAUUAGCUAAUACCGCAUACGCAUUGAGAUGGAAAGCGGGGGAUCUUAGGACCUCGCGCUAUUUGAGCGGCCAAUGUCUGAUUAGCUAGUUGGUGGGGUAAAGGCCUACCAAGGCGACGAUCAGUAGCGGGUCUGAGAGGAUGAUCCGCCACACUGGGACUGAGACACGGCCCAGACUCCUACGGGAGGCAGCAGUGGGGAAUUUUGGACAAUGGGCGAAAGCCUGAUCCAGCCAUGCCGCGUGUCUGAAGAAGGCCUUCGGGUUGUAAAGGACUUUUGUCAGGGAAGAAAAGGUGAUUGCUAAUAUCAGUCGCUGAUGACGGUACCUGAAGAAUAAGCACCGGCUAACUACGUGCCAGCAGCCGCGGUAAUACGUAGGGUGCGAGCGUUAAUCGGAAUUACUGGGCGUAAAGCGAGCGCAGACGGUUUGUUAAGCAGGAUGUGAAAUCCCCGAGCUCAACUUGGGAACGGCGUUCUGAACUGGCAAGCUAGAGUAUGUCAGAGGGGGGUAGAAUUCCACGUGUAGCAGUGAAAUGCGUAAAGAUGUGGAGGAAUACCGAUGGCG